rnacentral:rRNA from 1 species
AUUGAACGCUGGCGGCCGGCCUAACACAUGCAAGUCGAGCGGAGCGGCGGACGGGUGAGUAAUGCCUAGGAAGCUGCCUGGUAGUGGGGGAUAACGUCCGGAAACGGGCGCUAAUACCGAAUACUUGCAGAUGAGCCUAGGUCGGAUUAGCUCGGUGGUGGGGUAACGGCCUACCACGGCGACGAUCCGUAACUGGUCUGAGAGUAUGAUCAUUCACACGGGCACUGAGACACGGUCCAGACCCCUACGGUAGGCAGCAGGUGGGAAUAUUGGACAAUGGGCGAAAGCCGGACCCAGCCAUGCCGCUUGUGUUAAGAAGGUCUUCGGAUCGUAAAGCACUUUAAGUUGGGAGGCGUUACCAACAGAAUAAGCACCGGCUAACAUCGUGCCAGCAGCCGCGGUAAUAC